rnacentral:tRNA from 1 species
GGGGUUGUAGCUCAGUGGUAGAGCGCUUGCCUAGCAUGUGUGAGGCACUAGGUUCAAUUCUCAGCACCA